rnacentral:rRNA from 1 species
UACGUAGGGUGCAAGCGUUGUCCGGAAUCAUUGGGCGUAAAGAGCGUGUAGGCGGCCCGAUAAGUCCGCCGUGAAAGUCCAGGGCUCAACCCUGGAAUGCCGGUGGAAACUGUCGGGCUGGAGUCCGGAAGAGGCGAGUGGAAUUCCUGGUGUAGCGGUGAAAUGCGCAGAUAUCAGGAAGAACACCAAUGGCGAAAGCAGCUCUCUGGGACGGUACUGACGCUGAGACGCGAAAGCGUGGGGAGCGAACAGG